CAGGCAGCAUCUCUGGAAACACCAAAUUAUUUCAGUCUGACCUCGUGCCCUUCAGCCUUUAACACACAACAUGGUGGCACUACAGGCACAGAGGGGCCGGGCAUGAUGAAAUCUGUAAUGCAUUAGAGAAUC